GGGUGCCCGACGGUAGUGUAUGAAUAAGCAUCGGCUAACUCCGUGCCAGCAGCCGCGGUAAUACGGAGGAUGCAAGCGUUAUCCGGGAUUCAUUGGGUUUAAAGGGUGCGUAGGCGGCUCUUUAAGUCAGUGGUGAAAUCUUGCCGCUUAACGGUAAAAUUGCCAUUGAUACUGAAGAGCUUGAGUACAGUUGAGGUAAGCGGAAUGUGUAGUGUAGCGGUGAAAUGCUUAGAUAUUACACAGAACACCGAUUGCGAAGGCAGCUUACUAAGCUGUUACUGACGCUGAUGCACGAAAGCGUGGGGAGCGAACAGGAUUAGAUACCCUGGUAGUCCACGCCGUAAACGAUGAUCACUCGCUGUAUGCGAUACACAGUAUGCGGCCAAGCGAAAGCAUUAAGUGAUCCACCUGGGGAGUACGAUCGCAAGGUUGAAACUCAAAGGAAUUGACGGGGGCCCGCACAAGCGGAGGAACAUGUGGUUUAAUUCGAUGAUACGCGAGGAACCUUACCUGGGCUUAAAUGGGGAACGACAGCUGCCGAAAGGUGGCCUUCUUCGGACGUUCUUCAAGGUGCUGCAUGGUUGUCGUCAGCUCGUGCCGUGAGGUGUCGGGUUAAGUCCCAUAACGAGCGCAACCCUUAUCGUUAGUUGCCAGCGGGUCAAGCCGGGGACUCUAGCGAGACUGCCACCGUAAGGUGUGAGGAAGGUGGGGAUGACGUCAAAUCAGCACGGCCCUUAUGUCCAGGGCUACACACGUGUUACAAUGGCCGAUACAAAGGGCAGCUACCAGGUGACUGGAUGCUAAUCUCUAAAGUCGGUCUCAGUUCGGAUCGAAGUCUGCAACCCGACUUCGUGAAGCUGGAUUCGCUAGUAAUCGCAUAUCAGCCAUGAUGCGGUGAAUACGUUCCCGGGCCUUGUACACACCGCCCGUCAAACAAUGGAAGCUGGGGGUACCUGAAGUCUGUAACCGCAAGGAGCGGCCUAGGGAAA
rnacentral:rRNA from 1 species